GGGUAACCUGCCCCAUGCUGGAUAAUAACCUCGGGAAACUGAGAAUAAUGAUCCAUAGUUCACUACGCCUGGAACGGUGAGUGGAUGAAAGCUCCGGCGGCAUAGGAUGGGCCUGCGGCGUAUCAGGUUGUAGGGGGUGUAACGUACCCUCUAGCCCUCUACGCGUACGGGUGUUGGGAGACAUAGCCCGGAGAUGGAUUCUGAGACACGAAUCCAGACCCUACGGGGUGCAGCAGGCGCGAAAACUUGGCAAUGCGAGAAAUCGUGACCAGGGAACUCCAAGUGCAUCGGGUAAGACCGGUGCUUUUCUUGACUCUAAAUAGGUCUUGGAAUAAGGGGUGGGUAAGGACGGUGCCAGCCGCCGCGGUAAUACCGGCGCCUCAAGUGGUAGUCGCUUUUAUUGGGCCUAAAACGUCCGUAGCCGGUCUGAUACAUUCGUGGGUAAAUCAACCAGCUCAACUGGUUGAAUUCUGCGAGGACGGUCAGACUUGGGACCGGGAGAGGUGUGGGGUACGCUCAGGGUAGGGGUAAAAUCCUGUCAUCCUGAGCGGACCACCUGUUGCGAAGGCGCCACACUAGAACGGAUCCGACGGCCAGGGACGAAGCCUAGGGGCACGAACCGGAUUAGAUACCCGGGUAGUCCUAGGUGUAAACGCUGUGGACUUGAUGUUGGGGGUGCUCCGAGCACUCUCAGUGUCGAAGCGAAGGUGAUAAGUCCACUGCCUGGGAAGUACGGUCGCAAGGCUGAAACUU
rnacentral:rRNA from 1 species